GAUGCUAGUGCCUGUCCAAGGGCUGUAACUGGAAAUCCCCUACAGGCCACUCCCAACCUACGCUGCCCUCAAGGACUGGAGCAGGAGGAACCGCAACACAGGAUCUUACGGCCCUCACACUCGCACAGUAGGGCGGCCACGCCAUCGGCAGCAGUGAAGGCACCUCCCCCGGGGACGGAACGGUCCGAUCAGACAUCUACAGGAAGUUUCUUUACUGUCUCCCUGCAGACACCAUACACCUCACAGGGAAACAGCCUCCCCCAGAUGGAGAGCCUGGAUCACCGACUGCUCCUUUCCUUUGUGGCUGGGAAUUAACUGGGCACCAAGGUACUUUGUUGUCACCAUUAAGUGCUGACACUUUGUCAUCUCUUUACAAAAAUGACCACUGCAGAAAGCACGGUGAGUAGCCGAGACUCAACAUGGGUAGCAGCAACCGCACACCCCCGGGGCACUCUGGGCGUCUGCUACUCAUAACUGAAUAAACGCAGCCUUUCUGGACCUUCAGAUUAGGUCCCAUCCAGACAAACAACUGUAAAACCUAAAACAACAAAGUUUAAUACAACUGUAAGAAUUUUCUCAAAUUUUUGAACUGAGAACAAUUUAUACAUUCAGCUAAUUGGAGG